AGCGUAGACGGCAAGGCAAGUCUGAUGUGAAAACCCAGGGCUUAACCCUGGGACUGCAUUGGAAACUGUCUGGCUCGAGUGCCGGAGAGGUAAGCGGAAUUCCUAGUGUAGCGGUGAAAUUCGUAGAUAUUCGCAAGAACACCAGUGGCGAAGGCGGCUCACUGGGCCAUUACUGACGCUGAGGCACGAAAGCGUGGGGAGCAAACA
rnacentral:rRNA from 1 species